CUUCCUUGGAGGGUGGAAUUCUUACAUUAAAGCCGCAGCUGUUUUGGGGUAGGCCGUAGGCGGAAGAAGGCAGAUCAGCAUGCUCUUCAAAAUUUUGCCGUUUCCUUCUGGAUUCGGCGGCGGGUGAGCCGACGGGGACGAAUUGGAGGAGCAAUUUGGCAGUAGCUUUUGCGUGGGAUGUCUGGAGAGCCGACGCAACGGAGCACAUAGGGCAGUUGGAGCAAGGUCAGGAUGAUUUUCUUUCCUUGGGGUUGUGCAUAGGCGGGCGUGGUAGCUGUGGAAUUGACCGCAGUCAGCGGUUGCUCAUCUUUGCCGCUGCUAUCUGCGAAGGGAGCAAUGGCUCGGUGACAAUGACUGAAUGGAUAGGAUAGGUGUUCAUGUGAGCAAUGACGGAAAAAUAAAUAGGAAAGCAAAGGUAUCAAAGGGGAAUGCUCCGGACAGAUGAAGUACGAAAAGGAAACAGUAAGAGGAUCGAUAAUGAACGUUGGUGUGGUGGAGUACCGAAUGAUGAACGAACAUGAAUCCUAUCUCAUAGAAUUCCUGGUCUUUGUUCCGGUUCUCCUAUGAUCGUGUGAUGCGUACAACAUCACUCCUUGGAGAUCCUCGAGAUUCAGGGGAAACUAAAGGGAAGACAAAAGAGGAGGAGGAGGAAAUUAGCAGCGAUAGCGAUGGCAGGAACCUCUUCAACAGGGUGCUUGUCUAAACUUAUCUCCCGCCUUCGAGAUUCUACAUCAGGCAACGCGGGAACAACAGAGGUACCAGACAACAGAGAAGCACGUACGGGCAGCAAAGAACAGGAAGAGCCAACAGCAACAGCAGAAGCACUAUCUUCCAAACGACGACGGCGACGAACAUGCGGAGAAAGAGAAGAGGAGAACGAUCGGCCACGCCGACGACCUGAUCGUUGGCUUGCACCUCCAAGAGGUUGUACGGCGGGUAAGGAACCAGCAUGAGGUAAAGUGGGAGGCCCAGAAGGUGGGCGAUCGGAGACAACAACAACAGCACCAGCAGCUGAACCAAAAGGUGGGGACGCAACAGCGCGAAGAGCAGCAGAAGAGCCUCGCCCACGCGUGCGGAAACCCCGGCUUGAUGGCAAAGGAAGCAGCUGAUCCAGGCGACGGCGGCGGCAAAGACAAAGGCAGAGGAGCUGGUGGCAAAGCCGGCAGCACAUACGGCGGAGGCACCGGCAAAGACAGCAGGGCAGCACCAAGAGAAGGCAAGCUGUGGAGAUGAUGAAGGCGGGGCAACACCGGACGCAAAGGCGGCGCCGCAGGAGCCGGCCGGCCUCGCCCAUGAUCAGGAGCAACAUCCAUAGUCAAACGGAGACCUGAAACAAAAUAGAUAGACCAAGUCAGAACAAAGGAAGCGAGAGAUGAGGAAUGAACAGAAGCCAACCAUGAAAUCAGCACCUAGAAAGUAAAUCCAAUCAACCAAGGAAGAGGAGGGAAGGAAGAUAGGAACACCGGUCUCUCCGAUGCGGAGACCUAAACGCGGGAACCGAGGAAAAUACCUAGCGUGGAACAAAAUCAGGCAAGGAAUUUGACCGACAAAGCAGGAGAGAGAGAGAAGAAAGAGACACGCAAGAAGGCACGUGGCAAUGAGAUGGUAGCAGGAGUUUCUGUAAGGCAUGCACGAUCAGGUGACGCCCGAUAUGACCGGAGAUUGAAGGUAACCAACAGCGAAUAAACAGGAAGCAACCGGUCAACAGCUGGAGUUUCCACCGGCUCUCCCCGUUACUCAGCAAUUUUAGAAAGGAAAAGAAAGGAGAGAAAAGGAAAGGGACUCUCGCGUGCCAAAUCUAACAGCGCGUGAACAGUGGAAAAAUUAAUCGUGCCUAACCCUGAUUGGUGGAGACGGGUGAGCAACAGUACCCAAAUCAUUCUCCUCACGGCAGAUGGGGUUAACUUUUAUAUAGUUAAUAA